rnacentral:rRNA from 1 species
UGCCAGCCGCCGCGGUAAUACAGAGGUGGCAAGCGUUGUUCGGUAUCACUGGGCUUAAAGGGCGCGUAGGCGGUCUGGCACGGUCCGGGUGAAAUCCCUCGGCCCAACCGAGGAAUUGCCUGGGCAACGACCAGACUUGACAGCAUCAGGGGAAAGUGGAACUCCCGGUGGAGCGGUGAAAUGCGUAGAUAUCGGGAGGAACGCCGGUGGCGAAAGCGACUUUCUGGGGUGCUUGUGACGCUGAGGCGCGAAAGCUAGGGGAGCGAACGGGAUUAGAUA